UACGGGGGGGGCAGGCGUUGUUCGGAAUUACUGGGCGUAAAGGGCUCGUAGGCGGCCCUCUCAGUCGGAUGUGAAAUCCCCAGGCUUAACCUGGGAACGGCAUCCGAUACUGGAGGGCUUGAAUUCGGGAGAGGGAUGCAGAAUUCCAGGUGUAGCGGUGAAAUGCGUAGAUAUCUGGAGGAAUACCGGUGGCGAAGGCGGCAUCCUGGACCGAGAUUGACGCUGAGGAGCGAAAGCUAGGGGAGCAAACGGG
rnacentral:rRNA from 1 species